UACGUAGGCAGCGAGCGUUGUUCGGAGUUACUGGGCGUAAAGAGUGCGUAGGCGGUGCUCUAAGUUUGGUGUGAAAUCUCCCGGCUCAACUGGGAGGGUGCGCCGAAAACUGGAGUGCUCGAGUAUGGGAGAGGUAAGCGGAAUUCCUGGUGUAGCGGUGAAAUGCGUAGAUAUCAGGAGGAACACCUGCGGUGUAGACGGCUUACUGGACCAUGACUGACGCUGAGGCACGGAAAGCGUGGGGAGCAAACAGG
rnacentral:rRNA from 1 species